rnacentral:rRNA from 1 species
GAUGAACGCUGGCGGCGUGCUUAACACAUGCAAGUCGAACGAAGCAUUUGCGACAGAUUUUUUCGGAAUGAAGUUGCUUAUGACUGAGUGGCGGACGGGUGAGUAACGCGUGGGUAACCUGCCUUGUACUGGGGGAUAGCAGCUGGAAACGGCUGGUAAUACCGCAUAAGCGCACAAUGUUGCAUGACAUGGUGUGAAAAACUCCGGUGGUAUAAGAUGGACCCGCGUCUGAUUAGCUAGUUGGUGAGAUAACAGCCCACCAAGGCGACGAUCAGUAGCCGGCGGGGGGGGGGGACCGGCCAAAGUGGGACAUAGACCCGGCCCAGACUCCCAGGGGAGGAGGGAGGGGGGAAUAUUGAAAAAGGGAGGAAUCUCGGAUGCAGCGACCCCGGGUGAGAAAAGAAGUAUUUCUUUAUAAAAAGCUCUAUCAGAAGGAAAGAUAGGGAGGUACCCUAACAAAGAGGCCCGGCAAAAACCGGCC